rnacentral:lncRNA from 1 species
AAGGCUCAAGUUCAAAUUUUCAUCCACAAACUAGUAAACCAUGUUACAAGAAGUUGCAAACAUACUCCUACAAUUCCUACUUUUGAAGUUCGAAACAACAUAACAAAUGCAAUUAUUUAAUUACACGAGAGAGGAACUCAAAAAUUGGAAAAGGUAAUAGGAAACGAUCCCAAAAAUAUGGACAAUCCAAUUUAACUACUGAAAUUGAUGUAGACAAUGGAGGUAUCUCAUCCCAAAGUGUUUAGGGGGCCUCAGCUUCUCUUCUUGCCUUCAUAUAAUAUUCCAUCGUUGCUUCAGGAUCCUUGAAUUAGAUUGAAUUUUGGCCCAACCAGUUCUACCCAGUGCAUCACCAUUGUUUUGCCAUGUAAACAUCCAACAUCUUUGCCAUUUCCAACAUAAUCGAAGGUGGAAACUGUACAUGUACAUCUUUGCCAUCUCCAAGAGUGUUUUGCAUGUAUGACAAGAAUUGAGAAAAUCCACAGAAGGAGAACUGAGAAAUUGGCGUCAAAAUCAACUUACCUUUUGUUAUCAGACGAAUUAGGAUCCUCACAGCAGCUUGCAACAAUGCAGUUAUCAAUUAUAUGUGUUGUUUUUGGAUUAGGCCUAUGAGUGAUCACACAAGUAAAGUCCUCAGAAAGCUCAAUUUCCUUCAAAGAUAAUUGCCUAGUAAAACUCUGAGGAGAAUCCUUUGCUGGGAUGCUAGAAAAAGGACUCAACAACUGAGAAUCCCUAGUCUUGAUUCCAAAAUCAGCUGGAGAUUCAGGUGAUUCGACUAGGGAAUUGAGGAUUUGGACCAAUUUUUGGAGAUUCCAGUGGCUUCUUAGUGUAGUUUAUUACAAGAAUUUGGAGAUGGGAUUGAGGAUUUGGACCAAUUUUUGUCAUACCCAAAAGGGUUAGCAGAAUUUGAUGAGUUUUUUGUGUCAAGAAUUGAGGUUGGACUUGUUGCUACAGAUUCCGCAUCAGAAACAUUCUUUGUUAAAAACCCAUUCAAAAAUCUAGGUGAUCCCAGGAAAGAUGACAUAGAGGUUGUGGGAUUUUUUGGGCUAGUCAUUACUCUAGAUUUAUUCCUCAACAUUACUAACUCUAAUCUCUAUUUGGUUAAAUAUUUUACCAAAAGUUCAUUGCCAGAAUAAUAACGAAAAGAAGAAAAAAUAAUUAUAAAUCCCGAAAAUUCCAGAAUAAAAUGAACAUGGGUUUAAAGAAAAAAACUAACCAGGAACCAUUGUAAAUUUUGGUCUUCUUGAAUAACUGAUCAAGGCACUGGAAAAAGUCUGAAAAGAAUAAGCAAAAAAUUGCUUCUCCACUCAAAUGCUGGAAUUUGUGAAAAAUAAAACAAAUAAAAAGGGUAGAAAACACUGAUAAAUCUCAUUAGUCUCGAUAUUUUGAACACAAAAACUGAUAUAAAAAACCAAAUCUUUUUUCCCUUUUUCCAUACGAACAAAUAGUCAAAAUCAAGCCCAGAUUUGCAUUGAUGAUCAACAAGAUUCAAUAGCUUUCAUCAGUUUCCUGUGUCUAUGUGACUGUGUUUUUAAUUCAAUAAAAAUAUAUAUAUUAGCAGAGUAGACAGAGCAACAUGCUAGAAAAUGGAGACAAGUGAGAAAAAGGGUGGAGACAUUGCUUGUUCUGUUUCCAUUCUUUUAAUAUUACCAACCAGUUCCACCCAGUGCAUCACCAUUGUGUUGAAUACCUCCAUGGCAAUCUAAGCAUAUUGUUGGAUUUUGGCAAUGGAAAUAGAGAAAGGUUUAUCACGAAUCUGUAGGAGCAUCAUCACCGGCAAAACCAGACUGCAGGAGUAACAUUAAACAAGUUCCUCAAAAUUAAUUAUA